UAAACUAGGAUUAGAUACCCUAUUAUUUUAGAUGUUAAUGACAUGAAUAGUAUUAGUUAUGUUCUUGAAACUUAAAGAAUUUGGCGGUAUUUCAUUCUGUUCAGAGGAAUCUGCCUCGUUAUCGAUAAUCCGCGUUGGACCUUGCUUGGUUUGUAUACCGCCGUUAUAAUGAGUAUCCUUUUAGGGUUUUUUAAUUUUCUUAUUCUAUGAUUUUAGUUUAUUUCAGGUCAAGGUGCAGCUUAUGGUCAAGUGUUUGGUGGAUUACAUUUAUUAAUUUAUUAUCGGAUCACUUGUUGUAAUUCUGGUGUGAAGUUGGAUUUGAUUGUAACUUAAUUAAAGUUUGUUUUGGUGAUUUAUGUUUUGAAAUAUGCACACAUCGCCCGUCGCUCUCGUUUAGGCGAGAUAAGUCGUAACAUAGUA
rnacentral:rRNA from 1 species